rnacentral:rRNA from 1 species
UGCGCAGGCGGACUUUUAAGUCAGUGGUGAAAUCCCGAGGCUCAACCUCGGAACUGCCAUUGAUACUGGAAGUCUUGAAUUUGGUUGAAGUGGGCGGAAUGUAGCAUGUAGCGGUGAAAUGCUUAGAUAUGCUACAGAACACCGAUCGCGAAGGCAGCUCACUAAGCCAAUAUUGACGCUCAGGCACGAAAGCGUGGGGAGCGAACAGGAUUAGAUACCCUGGUAGUCC